UUCAGCAACGGAUCUCUUGGCUCUCGCAUCGAUGAAGAACGCAGCGAAAUGCGAUAAGUAAUGUGAAUUGCAGAAUUCAGUGAAUCAUCGAAUCUUUGAACGCACCUUGCGCUCCUUGGUAUUCCGAGGAGCAUGCCUGUUUGAGUGUCAUUAAAU
rnacentral:rRNA from 1 species